GACGAACGCUGGCGGCGUGCUUAACACAUGCAAGUCGAACGAUGAACCCGGAGCUUGCUCUGGGGGAUUAGUGGCGAACGGGUGAGUAACACGUGAGUAACCUGCCCUGGACUCUGGGAUAAGCGUUGGAAACGACGUCUAAUACCGGAUAGGACCUUGGACCGCAUGAUCUGGGGUGGAAAGUUUUUUCGGUCUGGGAUGGACUCGCGGCCUAUCAGCUUGUUGGUGAGGUAAUGGCUCACCAAGGCGUCGACGGGUAGCCGGCCUGAGAGGGUGACCGGCCACACUGGGACUGAGACACGGCCCAGACUCCUACGGGAGGGAGCAGUGGGGAAUAUUGCACAAUGGGCGAAAGCCUGAUGCAGCAACGCCGCGUGCGGGAUGACGGCCGUCGGGUUGUAAACCGCUUUUAGUAGGGAAGAAGGGCUUCGGCUUGACGGUACCUGCAGAAAAAGGACCGGCUAACUACGUG
rnacentral:rRNA from 1 species